ensembl:rRNA 5S_rRNA 5S ribosomal RNA
GCCCAUGGCCGUGACCACCUGAAUGCGUCUCAUCUUGGAAAUGAAGCAGUUCUGGCCCUGGCUAACACUUGAAUAGGAGACCACAGGGGAGUCUUGGGUGCUGUGGGCA